AGAGAGCUCACAGCGGCGCGUGGACACGGUGUGCUCCUGGCGGGGAAAAUGGUUGUUGUGCACGGCGGCGCGGCGGCGCAGGGAGGAGGGGGCGGAGGAGCGAGGGGGGCUGAGAGGGUGGUGGGCGUCCUAGCGGUUUCUCUCGGGCCGGCUGGGAGGAGGGUCCCUAUUGCCCUGAAGCCUAGUAGGGCAAGUGGGCUUUGGAGGGCGGGUGUGGACGCUUCUGGUCUGGCCGCGGCUUUUUGUGGUAAAAGGAAAAAGUGCUUAUGAGGGAAUUUCAUGCCUAGUCUUAGCCAGUGCAGUUAAUUUAGAGGCGAGUGUUUACUCCUGGCGCCCAAGUCGCAAGUCUGUGAAAAUGAAUCCCUUUGCUCCAGGAAUACCUAAGGAUUGGGACAGAGGGCAGAGAGUGCGGCUGUUACUACUGUUCAGAAAGUCCCCCUCUCUCCUCUUGGCGCCGCAUCUUUAAUGAAAAAACAAAAGCUGCUGUCUCUGACGAAAAGUCACUAAUUCUGAUCCCUCUUCAGUCUCUUCUGGACGUCGGUGUAUGGGUGGGAGGUGCCCGCUCCGACCCUCUCCCGCCCCGGGGGGCUCUAGGACCGUGGGCUAGGCUGUUCCUGGUCGCGUGUACCCUCCUUUCUGUUCUCUCUGUUCUCUGGAACGGAAACAGGGCGUGUGCACAUCCUGUUGCUUAUCCCCUCGUCUCCUCAGUUUCUACCUGCAGGGUCGGGGAACACUUUGUGUUCCCUGCUUACCUCAUUACCGGUCUAAUGAGGUAUGGCCAUCAGUCUCUGAUAAACUCUCCCUCCCUGCUUCUCCAGGAAAGAAAAAUAAAAUGGGGGAAAGAAAGGAUGCUUCACGCUUCCCUUUCUUCAUAAGCUACUUUCGCUCUGCUCUUCAUCUACUCCUCCAGCCUACGAAAUCAAAGGCACCUCCAUAAAUCUGUUGCCCCACGCAGCCCUCACGCUGGUGAAAAGCAAGAAAGAUCGCCAUAAUAGAAGUGUCGGUGUAGAGCUAGCCAUACCCCUGUUGGAAGGAACAAUUUCCUGUGUUUUAAGUGGUUCCCCUCAUCCCUCACCCUCGCAAGCUUUUGGAAAUCAGAAGAGAAAGAGAAAGAAGGGUGGUCACAGGGCACAGGGCAAGCUAAAGGGAGCCCCAAUUUCAUUUUGUGUUGAUUUCAGUUGGCUGUCAGGUGGGGUUUUCCCUGCUAAAUGUAAAAUGCCUUGGGAGCUAACUCCUGAGAACUUGUUCUUAAAUGUGAUAACAACAACUUGUAUGCAGAACUGGAGUUCUCUUUUCUUUGAUUCACAGAACCCUCAUAUAUCUGUUGGGAUGUCACGAGAACGUUACCUCAUUUCUUAGGCUGGAAAGAGGAAGAUAAUGUCCCCAAGCUUUAGACGAGGAAGUAAAUAAGAAGCCCGCUCCAGUUUCUUCAGUCUUCCCAUUUUGCAGAGCUCAGUACAGACCACUUGUUUGCUCUGUGUUGUGCCCAAGUUCCCUUGAAUGCCAAGAGACUGUUUUGGCAGCAGCGGCCGCAGCAGCAGCAGCAGCCGCAGCACUACCAGGCCUGGAGCCAAGGCAUGUUCUGAAAUGGAGGCCUCCUGGACAGAGUUGUUUACAACCUUUCACCUUAUAACUCGAUCCAAGUCAUAGAUAAAUAAGAAUGUGUUACUUUCCGGCGGUGACGACCGACCCAUGCGAACAUGCCUCUCGCAAAGGAUCUCCUGCAUCCCUCUCCUGAAGAGGAGAAGAGGAAACACAAGAAGAAGCGCCUGGUGCAGAGCCCCGAUUCCUACUUCAUGGACGUGAAGUGCCCAGGAUGCUGUAAAAUCAUCAUGGUUUUCAGC